UUGCUGCCACAACGGCUUCCUGGCGUGGCGGUUUUUCAUUGAAUGGAGCA
rfam:Rhodobacteraceae bacterium O3.65 TRIHO_contig000127, whole genome shotgun sequence.